CAUUAGCCCCGAUUGAAGAGGAAAUUAUUUUGCUUUUUUCUUUAAAAAAGCAAAAUGAUUGCAACGAAAAGCGGGAACUAUU
rnacentral:sRNA from 22 species